rnacentral:rRNA from 1 species
AGUCGAGCGGAGAUGAGGUGCUUGCACCUUAUCUUAGCGGCGGACGGGUGAGUAAUGCUUAGGAAUCUGCCUAUUAGUGGGGGACAACAUUCCGAAAGGAAUGCUAAUACCGCAUACGUCCUACGGGAGAAAGCAGGGGAUCUUCGGACCUUGCGCUAAUAGAUGAGCCUAAGUCGGAUUAGCUAGUUGGUGGGGUAAAGGCCUACCAAGGCGACGAUCUGUAGCGGGUCUGAGAGGAUGAUCCGCCACACUGGGACUGAGACACGGCCCAGACUCCUACGGGAGGCAGCAGUGGGGAAUAUUGGACAAUGGGGGGAACCCUGAUCCAGCCAUGCCGCGUGUGUGAAGAAGGCCUUAUGGUUGUAAAGCACUUUAAGCGAGGAGGAGGCUACUGAGACUAAUACUCUUGGAUAGUGGACGUUACUCGCAGAAUAAGCACCGGCUAACUCUGUGCCAGCAGCCGCGGUAAUACAGAGGGUGCGAGCGUUAAUCGGAUUUACUGGGCGUAAAGCGUGCGUAGGCGGCUUUUUAAGUCGGAUGUGAAAUCCCCGAGCUUAACUUGGGAAUUGCAUUCGAUACUGGGAAGCUAGAGUAUGGGAGAGGAUGGUAGAAUUCCAGGUGUAGCGGUGAAAUGCGUAGAGAUCUGGAGGAAUACCGAUGGCGAAGGCAGCCAUCUGGCCUAAUACUGACGCUGAAGUACGAAAGCAUGGGGAGCAAACAGGAUUAGAUACCCUGGUAGUCCAUGCCGUAAACGAUGUCUA